rnacentral:rRNA from 1 species
GUUAGCGGCGGACGGNUGAGUAACACGUGGGUAACCUGCCUGUAAGACUGGGAUAACUCCGGGAAACCGGAGCUAAUACCGGAUAGUUCCUUGAACCGCAUGGUUCANGGAUGAAAGACGGUUUCGGCUGUCACUUACAGAUGGACCCGCGGCGCAUUAGCUAGUUGGUGAGGUAACGGCUCACCAAGGCGACGAUGCGUAGCCGACCUGAGAGGGUGAUCGGCCACACUGGGACUGAGACACGGCCCAGACUCCUACGGGAGGCAGCAGUAGGGAAUCUUCCGCAAUGGACGAAAGUCUGACGGAGCAACGCCGCGUGAGUGAUGAAGGUUUUCGGAUCGUAAAGCUCUGUUGUUAGGGAAGAACAAGUGCAAGAGUAACUGCUUGCACCUUGACGGUACCUAACCAGAAAGCCACGGCUAACUACGUGCCAGCAGCCGCGGUAAUACGUAGGUGGCAAGCGUUGUCCGGAAUUAUUGGGCGUAAAGGGCUCGCAGGCGGUUUCUUAAGUCUGAUGUGA